CUCCUCCUUAUGUCUAGUGUCACCCCCUUCCCCUCUCAUGUGCACAGGUCAUGUGUCCCUCCUCCCCCUCAUGUCCCGUGACACCCCCUCCCCCCUCAUGUCCCCAGCUCCUGUGUCCAUUCUCCCCUCUCCUCAUGUCUAGUUUCCCCCCCUUCCCCUCUCAUGUGCACAGGUCAUGUGUCCCUCCUCCCCCUCAUGUCCCGUGACACCCCCUCGCCCCUCAUGUCCCCAGCUCCUGUGUCCAUUCUCCCGUCUCCCCCUUAUGUCUAGUGUCACCCCCUUCCACUCUCAUGUGCACAGGUUAUGUGUCCCUCCUUCCCCUCAUGUCCGGUGACACCCCCUCCCCCCUCAUGUCCCCAGCUCCUGUGUCCAUUCUCCCCUCUCCUCCUUAUGUCUAGUGUCACCCCCUUCCACUCUCAUGUGCACAGGUUAUGUGUCCCUCCUCCCCCUCAUGUCCCGUGACAGCCCCUCCCCCCUCAUGUCCCCAGCUCCUGUGUCCAUUCUCCCCUCUCCUCCUUAUGUCUAGUGUCACCCCCUUCCCCUCUCAUGUGCACAGGUCAUGUGUCCUCCUCCCCCUCAUGUCCCGUGAGUGACAGCCCCCCCCCCUCAUGUGCCCAGGUCAUGUGUCCCUCCACCCCCUCCUCCUUCAUGUGCCCAGGACCGGUCCUGUGUCAUUCCACCUCAUGUUCCCAAGUCCUGUAUCCCUCCUCUCCACCCACCCCACUCAUGCCCCAAGGUCUUGUGUCCCUUUCCCCCAUCAUGUGCCCAGAUCUUGUGUCACAGCUUCACCAACUCAUCCAUCCCUGCAACUCUUUGUGGAAGCAUGGGCAACCAACAGGAGACCCACUAUCAGCAGAGAGUCCCUGAGCAGCAUCAUAUGGACUCAGAGCAACAGUAGCAGAGUCUUUUGAUGUAUACUGGCUUGGAAUCCGCUCCGCUGUUAUAUAUAAUGCACAGUCAGCCGAAGUGUGCAGCA